rnacentral:rRNA from 1 species
CCCUUAGAUGUUCUGGGCCGCACACGCGCUACACUGGCAGGUUCAUCGAGCUUCAUGCCCUGAUCUGAGAAGAACGGGAAAUCUUUGAACACCUGCCGUGCUUGGGAUAGAUGUUUGCAAUUAUUCAUCUUCAACGAGGAUUGCCUUGUAAGCGCACGUCAUCAGCGUGCAUUGAAUACGACCCUGUAUUCUGUACACACCGCCCGUCGCUCCUACCGAUUGAAGUUUUCGGUGAAUUUACUGGAGAUCCCUUUUGAAGGUGGUUCGCCACUGGAAGAAGUAUUCAAAAGUAAAUGAAUCGGAUGCUUUAGAGGAAGGAGAAGUCGUAACA